UACGUAGGGGGCAAGCGUUGUCCGGAAUUAUUGGGCGUAAAGAGCGCGUAGGCGGUCCGAUAAGUCGGCUGUGAAAGUCAGGGGCUCAACCCUUGAAAGCCGGCCGAUACUGUCGGACUAGAGUCCGGAAGAGGCGAGUGGAAUUCCUGGUGUAGCGGUGAAAUGCGCAGAUAUCAGGAAGAACACCCGUGGCGAAGGCGGCUCUCUGGGACGGUACUGACGCUGAGACGCGAAAGCGUGGGGAGCGAACAGG
rnacentral:rRNA from 1 species